AUUCUCUUUCUCACCUUUCUGGUAACUUUUAGGUAUGUAUCUAUAUUGGCCAGGGCAGACUAGGUCAUGCUGUGGAAACAAAACACUCUAAAAUCUCGACGGCUUAACACAACAGCAAACAUUUUUUUCUUGCUCAAGAAAAAACCUACCUACUGCAGAUCCAGCUGACCCUCCUAUCCUUCAUGCAGCAACUCCACAAUCCAGGCUGCUUUGACCUUAUGGUGCCAUCACCUAAAUAUGAGGCAUUCCGCAAGAUCACUUCAGCUGCAAUGAGCUGCUUCAGCCCAGGAGUGACACGUGCCCCUUACAGUCACAGCCUGUUGGCCAGGACAGCUAUCCAGCCUCACUUGGCUGCCAGAGGAGAGAAAUGUGAUCCUUCCAUGUGCCCAGGAGAGGAGCACAGAUACGCGGAUAUGGGGUGCAAGAGAUUCAGACUCUCUGUGCUCUCCUUCAGCAAGGCACAGGUUGAACUCAGGAAAAGUAAGUCAGAGAUUAAAUAAAUGUCUUCAUAUAAAGGUGUGAGUUUACAAAGAAGAAUCAAAUGAGGAACCCAAGCAACUGUUGCUUUCACAUAACUUGGAGGUUUCUAAGGCAGUGUUUCUCAAUGUCAAGAUGUCACGUUUCAAAAGACAACCUGAAUUCUCAGAUGAUUUCAAUGCAAGAUUAAUUUUCACUUGCCUCCAUUUUACAAAUAAGUAAAUGCCAUACUGUGAUCUUGUUCUCUUUUUUACUGGAGGGAGGCAUGUCUUGGAUUCAAAGAAAUAAUGACAAGGUAUUUCCACUCUCCCUAAGACUGGUAACACCAGUGUACAGCCCUGGAAGGAAAGAUAUAAAGCAGGAGAAAUAAGGCUACUGGGGACAGAUUUCAACAUCAGCAAA
ensembl:lincRNA